AGCAUCUCUUCGAGGAAGCCUCCAUCGUUACCAGGCUACACCUUGAUAGCAAAAAGUUUGAUAAAGGUAAUUUAUUUGUUUUCUGCUUCUUUUUACGAUUUACAUAUUACAAUACAAUGACCAAGUUAAUGUCCGUCUGUGAGGCUGGACUGUGGUAAUAGAUUAAUGGAAAUUAAAACUAAUGUUUUCAUGGUUCAGUUUACCUUGCUUAUCGUUUAGUAUGGUUUAGUAUGAUUUCACCAUUUCGAUGUUCAUGGUUCUGUUAGCUAUGUGAUACCUAGAAUAGAAACCCACUCAUGUCCCAUCCUUGUUUGUUUCUCCCUGUAACUGACUUGAUUACAGUCACGUGCCCUACUAUGGGGAUUUUUUCCAACUAUUCUUGUUUUUGCUACCAUCAGGUUCUGAACGUCCAGCACAUUCAAAAGCUAGAUAAUCCAACUGUACCAAGGGAUGUCGACUAACCACCAUGGUCUGAUGAGUGUGGAUGACAUUGCCUCGAGGUACACAGUAGAAGCCUCUGCUGUCCAACACAUUUG
rnacentral:lncRNA from 1 species